rnacentral:rRNA from 1 species
UUUCCGGUUGAUCCCGCCGGAGGCUACCGCUAUUGGAGUUCGAUUAAGCCAUGCGAGUCGCGAGUCUUAGGGACUCGGCGUACCGCUCAGUAACACGUGGGUAACCUGCCCUAUGCUGGGGGAUAACCUCGGGAAACUGAGAAUAAUACCCCAUAGUUCACCACGCCUGGAACGGUGGGUGGAUCAAAGCUCCGGCGGCAUAGGAUGGGCCUGCGGCGUAUCAGGUUGUAGGGGGUGUAAUGUACCCUCUAGCCCUCUACGCGUACGGGUGUUGAGAGACAUCGCCCGGAGAUGGAUUCUGAGACACGAAUCCAGACCCCACGGGGUGCAGCAGGCGCGAAAACUUGGCAAUGCGAGAAAUCGUGACCAGGGAACUCCAAGUGCAUCGGGUAAGACCGAUGCUUUUCUUGACUCUUCAAAGGUCUUGGAAUAAGGGGUGGGUAAGGACGGUGCCAGCCGCCGCGGUAAUACCGGCGCCCCAAGUGGUAGUCGCUUUUAUUGGGCCUAAAACGUCCGUAGCCGGUCUGGUACAUUCGUGGGUAAAUCAACCAGCUCAACUGGUUGAAUUCUGCGAGCACGGCCAGACUUGGGACCGGGAGAGGUGUGGGGUACUCUCAGGGUAGGGGUAAAAUCCUGUCAUCCUGAGAGGACCACCUGUUGCGAAGGCGCCACACUAGAACGGAUCCGACGGUCAGGGACGAAGCCUAGGGGCACGAACCGGAUUAGAUACCCA